rnacentral:rRNA from 1 species
AGAGUUUGAUCCUGGCUCAGAGCGAACGCUGGCGGCAGGCUUAACACAUGCAAGUCGAGCGGGCGUAGCAAUACGUCAGCGGCAGACGGGUGAGUAACGCGUGGGAACGUACCUUUUGGUUCGGAACAACACAGGGAAACUUGUGCUAAUACCGGAUAAGCCCUUACGGGGAAAGAUUUAUCGCCGAAAGAUCGGCCCGCGUCUGAUUAGCUAGUUGGUGAGGUAACGGCUCACCAAGGCGACGAUCAGUAGCUGGUCUGAGAGGAUGAUCAGCCACAUUGGGACUGAGACACGGCCCAAACUCCUACGGGAGGCAGCAGUGGGGAAUAUUGGACAAUGGGCGCAAGCCUGAUCCAGCCAUGCC